UGCCAGCCGCCGCGGUAAUACGGAGGAUCCAAGCGUUGUCCGGAUUUAUUGGGUUUAAAGGGUGCGUAGGCGGACUAAUAAGUCAGAGGUGAAAGUUUGCAGCUUAACUGUAAAAUUGCCUUUGAAACUGCUAGUCUUGAGUAUAGUUGAGGUGGGCGGAAUGUGUCAUGUAGCGGUGAAAUGCUUAGAUAUGAUACAGAACACCGAUUGCGAAGGCAGCUCACUAAACUAUAACUGACGCUGAGGCACGAAAGCGUGGGGAGCGAACAGGAUUAGAUA
rnacentral:rRNA from 1 species